rnacentral:rRNA from 1 species
GAUGAACGCUAGCGGCAGGCUUAACACAUGCAAGUCGAGGGGUAACAUAGAAAAGCUUGCUUUUCUGAUGACGACCGGCGCACGGGUGCGUAACGCGUAUACAACCUACCUUUUAGCGGGGAAUAGCCCAGGGAAACUUGGAUUAAUGCCCCAUAGUAUAUAGACUUCUCCUGAAGUUUAUAUUAAACAUUUAUGGCUAUUAGAUGGGUAUGCGUCCUAUUAGUUAGUUGGUAAGGUAACGGCUUACCAAGGCAGCGAUAGGUAGGGGUCCUGAGAGGGAGAUCCCCACACUGGUACUGAGACACGGACCAGACUCCUACGGGAGGCAGCAGUGAGGAAUAUUGGACAAUGGGCGAGAGCCUGAUCCAGCCAUGCCGCGUGCAGGAAGACUGCCCUAUGGGCUGUAAACUGCUUUUACAGAGGAAGAACCACCCCCACGUGUGGGGGUUUGACGGUACUCUGCGAAUAAGGAUCGGCUAACUCCGUG